rnacentral:lncRNA from 1 species
GUUGUGGGUAACGCGGACGUGGAAGAACCUCGUCUGCGGAGGAAAAGGUAGAUGUUAAAUGGUAACUACGCGCGAGGUUCUGAGGAGCCCUGGGAACAGGAAGGAGAAAAGAAUACCAAAAGUGACAACAGUUUGCCAAUCGCAGUCUUUAAUCUGAUAAAGCGGUUAUCUCGUCUUGAGUCCCAGGUGCCGAGUCAAUCCCCAUACACAGCCGCCGCCAUUGCCUCGAGUCCUUGUGUCUGACUGUCUGUUCCUGCUGCUGUAUGACACAGCACCUCGAGGCAAGGAAAUAAGAAAACUGCCUCUGAUCCAAGCAGAGAAGAACUCCUGUAGCCUGUAAUACCAGCUGUGGGUACUACUCUCAGUGUUGGAGAUCAUCAAAAUACAAUUGGACCAGACCCUUUGGAAAUAAUUCUGUGUCUCAAAUGCCCUGUGGAGCACACACUUAAUCAGUUGAUGGCUAUGGAAUUUUCCAACAUCAGCUAAAGAGAAGGGAUAGAGUGGUGACUUCCAAGCUUCAUGCAGAACCGGACAACAGAAAUUGAGAGGGAAAUUUCUAUGACAGAAGAGAGAAAGAAGAAAAUUGCUGGAAUAAUGACCUUGAAUAGAGGAAAUGGGAUAUCAUCUGGGGAAAUUUGGACACAGAGGCAAGCACACAGGGAGAGUGCCAAGUGAAGAUGAAGAAAAAGAUCAGAGUGAUACAAAGAAGUCAAAGAACACCAAAGAUUGCCAACAAACCACCAGAAGCUAGGAGAAAGGCCUGAAACAUAUCCUUCCCGCAUGCCUUCAGAGGGAGCGUGGGCCUGCAGACACUUUGAUCUCAGACUUCUACCCUAUGGAACUGUGCAAAAAUAAAUGUCUGUUGUUUAAGCCAUUCAGUUUGUGUUACAGCACAAAUGUAUUCUAUUUAGAAUACAUCAUUCUAAAUAGAAAUUUUUUAAUAAUUAAGUAUUUUCCUCUCCUUGGAGCACUUGGUAACUUCUAAUUCUACUUUCUAUCUCUAUUAAUUUGCCUAUUCUAGAUAUAUCAAAUGAGUGAAAUAAUACAAUAGUUGUCUUUUUGUGUCUGGCUUCUUUUACUUUGCAUAAUGUUUUCAAGGUUCAUUCAUGUUGUAGCAUGUAUCUGAACUUCAUUCUUUUUCUGGCUGAAAAUUUUAUUAUAUGUAUGUAUUACAUUUUGUGUCUCUAUUCAUCACUUGAUGGAUAUUUGGAUAGAUUUAAGUCAUUUGUCUUUUGUGAAUAGUGCUAUUAAUAUUAUGAACACUUGAGUACAAGUUUUUGUUUAAAUACCUCUUUUCUUUUUUCUUGGAUGUAUUAUCUAGGUGAAGAAUGGCAAGAUCAUAUGGUAAUUCUAUUUAGCUUUUUGAGGAACUGCCAAACCUUUCCACAAUGACUGCACAAUUAUACAUUUCCAGUAGGGUUCCAGUUUAUCCAUAUUCUCACCAAUGCUUUUAUUUUUCUGUUUUUUAAAAUUAUACUGAUCAUAGGAGGUGUAAAGCAGUAUUUCAGUUUGGUUUUGAUUUGCAUUUCCCUAAUGAUUAAUGAUGUUGAGAAUCCUUUCACAUGCUUAUUGACCAUUUUUAUGUCAUUUUGGGAAAAUAUUUAUUCACAUUUUUGCCCAUUUUUUAGUUGGGUUGUCUUUUUUUGCUGUUGAGUUGUAGGAGUUCUUUAUAUUUUCUGGAUAUUAAACCCUCAUCAGAUAAAUUAUUUGCAAAUGUUUUCUUCCAUUCUGUUAAUUUUCUUAAUGUUGUCUUUUGAUGCACAUUGUAAAAAUUUUUAAAAUCAAUUUCCAUUUUCUUAUUUUUUUAUUAUUAUGCUUUAAGUUCUGGGAUACAUGUGCAGAGCGUGCAGGUUUGUUACAUAGGUAUAUACGUGCCAUGGUGGUUUGCUGCACCCAUCAACCCAUCAUCUACAUUAGGCGUUUCUCCUAAUGCUAUCCCUCCCCUUGCCCCGCACCCCCGAGCAGACCCCAGUGUGUGAUGUUCCCCUCCCUGUGUCCAUGUGUUCCCAUUGUUCAACUCCCACUUGAGU